rnacentral:rRNA from 1 species
AAAUUGAAGAGUUUGAUCAUGGCUCAGAUUGAACGCUGGCGGCAGGCCUAACACAUGCAAGUCGAACGGUAACAGGAAGCAGCUUGCUGCUUCGCUGACGAGUGGCGGACGGGUGAGUAAUGUCUGGGAAACUGCCUGAUGGAGGGGAUAACUACUGGAAACGGUGGCUAAUACCGCAUAACGUCGCAAGACCAAAGAGGGGGACCUUCGGGCCUCUUGCCAUCAGAUGUGCCCAGAUGGGAUUAGCUUGUUGGUGAGGUAACGGCUCACCAAGGCGACGAUCCCUAGCUGGUCUGAGAGGAUGACCAGCCACACUGGAACUGAGACACGGUCCAGACUCCUACGGGAGGCAGCAGUGGGGAAUAUUGCACAAUGGGCGCAAGCCUGAUGCAGCCAUGCCGCGUGUAUGAAGAAGGCCUUCGGGUUGUAAAGUACUUUCAGCGGGGAGGAAGGUGUUGUGGUUAAUAACCGCAGCAAUUGACGUUACCCGCAGAAGAAGCACCGGCUAACUCCGUGCCAGCAGCCGCGGUAAUACGGAGGGUGCAAGCGUUAAUCGGAAUUACUGGGCGUAAAGCGCACGCAGGCGGUCUGUCAAGUCGGAUGUGAAAUCCCCGGGCUCAACCUGGGAACUGCAUUCGAAACUGGCAGGCUUGAGUCUUGUAGAGGGGGGUAGAAUUCCAGGUGUAGCGGUGAAAUGCGUAGAGAUCUGGAGGAAUACCGGUGGCGAAGGCGGCCCCCUGGACAAAGACUGACGCUCAGGUGCGAAAGCGUGGGGAGCAAACAGGAUUAGAUACCCUGGUAGUCCACGCCGUAAACGAUGUCUACUUGGAGGUUGUGCCCUUGAGGCGUGGCUUCCGGAGCUAACGCGUUAAGUAGACCGCCUGGGGAGUACGGCCGCAAGGUUAAAACUCAAAUGAAUUGACGGGGGCCCGCACAAGCGGUGGAGCAUGUGGUUUAAUUCGAUGCAACGCGAAGAACCUUACCUGGUCUUGACAUCCACAGAAGAAUCCAGAGAUGGAUUUGUGCCUUCGGGAACUGUGAGACAGGUGCUGCAUGGCUGUCGUCAGCUCGUGUUGUGAAAUGUUGGGUUAAGUCCCGCAACGAGCGCAACCCUUAUCCUUUGUUGCCAGCGGUUAGGCCGGGAACUCAAAGGAGACUGCCAGUGAUAAACUGGAGGAAGGUGGGGAUGACGUCAAGUCAUCAUGGCCCUUACGACCAGGGCUACACACGUGCUACAAUGGCGCAUACAAAGAGAAGCGACCUCGCGAGAGCAAGCGGACCUCAUAAAGUGCGUCGUAGUCCGGAUUGGAGUCUGCAACUCGACUCCAUGAAGUCGGAAUCGCUAGUAAUCGUGGAUCAGAAUGCCACGGUGAAUACGUUCCCGGGCCUUGUACACACCGCCCGUCACACCAUGGGAGUGGGUUGCAAAAGAAGUAGGUAGCUUAACCUUCGGGAGGGCGCUUACCACUUUGUGAUUCAUGACUGGGGUGAAGUCGUAACAAGGUAACCGUAGGGGAACCUGCGGUUGGAUCACCUCCUUA